GCCCCCUUUCCUAACUGGUGACCCGUUUAAGGUAGAGUCUUACGUGAGGUAUCAAUGAACUCAGCAGAGACUUCCUUUUUUAUUGGUAAAGGUUUGCUCCAACCCCUAUACUUUGGCCACGUCCCCUGUCACAGCUAAUGAACUGUAUGACGUAGAGUCUUGUGUGAGGUAUCAAUGAACUCAGCAGAGACUUCCUUUUUCAUUGGUAAAGGUUUGCUCCGACCCCUAU